GACGAACGCUGGCGGCGUGCUUAACACAUGCAAGUCGAACGAUGAUGCCCAGCUUGCUGGGUGGAUUAGUGGCGAACGGGUGAGUAACACGUGAGUAACCUGCCCCUGACUCUGGGAUAAGCGUUGGAAACGACGUCUAAUACUGGAUACGACUGCCGGCCGCAUGGUCUGGUGGUGGAAAGAUUUUUUGGUUGGGGAUGGACUCGCGGCCUAUCAGCUUGUUGGUGAGGUAAUGGCUCACCAAGGCGACGACGGGUAGCCGGCCUGAGAGGGUGACCGGCCACACUGGGACUGGGACACGGCCCAGACUGCUACGGGAGGCAGCAGUGGGGAAUAUUGCACAAUGGGCGAAAGCCUGAUGCAGCAACGCCGCGUGAGGGAUGACGGCCUUCGGGUUGUAAACCUCUUUUAGUAGGGAAGAAGCGAAAGUGACGGUACCUGCAGAAAAAGCACCGGCUAACUACGUGCCAGCAGCCGCCGCAG
rnacentral:rRNA from 1 species